CUUCGAAAUAUGUCCCCUCAAAUGGCACAAUAGACGUAGGUAUUAAUUAGCCAGGCUAAUUGUCCAGACUUGUUUAGAAUAAUCAAGUGAGGAAGCAGCUUCAGUCUGUUGGAUUUUUCUCAAACAACUAACAGUAAAACACCAACUUGUUGUGCCAGUAAAUCGCACAAACCCAGUGUGUGACUUAGAAGGAAAUUCUGUCUCCCCUGAACACGGGUCUUCACUCACAAAGCUGGGCGCACAGCGGGCCCUGCCUCCAAAGGUACUUUGAGGAAAGGCCUUUCCGUCUCCUCACAGCAGAAAAUCAAUGCAGCACGCUGGAGGGAAGAUGGAGAGUUAAAACGUCCUCCUCCCACGGGCGCUGCUCUGUGUGGUUUGCAUCUUACUGGGUGUGAAAUCACGGUCCAGGGACUGCCCCUCCCCCACCGCAGAGCACCCCCAGGGGCACCACGCCACAGCCCUCCUGUCACCCCUUCGUUGUAGGUCGGACCGGGGCUGCCUGUGGAGAGAGAAGAGAAGCAAGUCACCCUCAAACUUUUUCAUAUUUUCCAAAGGUUUUCAUCUUUUAAAAUAAAAUGUGAGAGGCGCUUUU